rnacentral:rRNA from 1 species
AGUGAACGCUGGCGGCGUGCUUAACACAUGCAAGUCGAACGGAUUAAAGUAGCUUGCUACUUUGGUUAGUGGCGCACGGGUGAGUAAUAUAUAGCUAACCUGCCCUUUAGUGGGGGACAACAGUUGGAAACGACUGCUAAUACCCCAUACUCCUUCUUGUCCUAAGGCGAGUUGGGAAAGAUUUAUCGCUAAAGGAUGGGGCUUUAUUGUAUCAGCUAGUUGGUGAGGUAAUGGCUCACCAAGGCUAUGACGCAUACCUGGUCUGAGAGGAUGAUCAGGCACACUGGAACUGAGACACGGUCCAGACUCCUACGGGAGGCAGCAGUGGGGAAUAUUGCACAAUGGAGGAAACUCUGAUGCAGCAACGCCGCGUGGAGGAUGACGCAUUUCGGUGUGUAAACUCCUUUUAUAGGGGAAGAUAAUGACGGUACCCUAUGAAUAAGCACCGGCUAACUCCGUG